rnacentral:rRNA from 1 species
GUGAACGCUGGCGGUAGGCCUAACCCCUGCAAGUCGCACGGCAGCACAGUAAGAGCUUGCUCUUACGGGUGGCGAGUGGCGGACGGGUGAGGAAUACAUCGGAAUCUACUUUUUCGUGGGGGAUAACGUAGGGAAACUUACGCUAAUACCGCAUACGACCUACGGGUGAAAGCAGGGGAUCUUCGGACCUUGCGCGAUUGAAUGAGCCGAUGUCGGAUUAGCUAGUUGGCGGGGUAAAGGCCCACCAAGGCGACGAUCCGUAGCUGGUCUGAGAGGAUGAUCAGCCACACUGGAACUGAGACACGGUCCAGACUCCUACGGGAGGCAGCAGUGGGGAAUAUUGGACAAUGGGCGCAAGCCUGAUCCAGCCAUACCGCGUGGGUGAAGAAGGCCUUCGGGUUGUAAAGCCCUUUUGUUGGGAAAGAAAAGCAGCAGGUUAAUACCCCGCUGUUCUGACGGUACCCAAAGAAUAAGCACCGGCUAACUUCGUG